AUUGAACGCUGGCGGCAUGCUUUACACAUGCAAGUCGAACGGUAACAGGCCUUCGGGUGCUGACGAGUGGCGAACGGGUGAGUAAUGCAUCGGAACGUACCCAGAGGUGGGGGAUAACGCAGCGAAAGCUGUGCUAAUACCGCAUGUGAUCUGAGGAUGAAAGCGGGGGACCGAGCAGCAAUGUUUGGCCUCGCGCCUUUGGAGCGGCCGAUGUCGGAUUAGCUAGUUGGUGGGGUAAAGGCCUACCAAGGCGACGAUCCGUAGCUGGUCUGAGAGGACGACCAGCCACACUGGGACUGAGACACGGCCCAGACUCCUACGGGAGGCAGCAGUGGGGAAUUUUGGACAAUGGGCGAAAGCCUGAUCCAGCAAUGCCGCGUGAGGGAAGAAGGCCUUCGGGUUGUAAACCGCUUUUGGCAGGAACGAAACGGUGUCCGCUAAUACCGGGCGCUAAUGACGGUACCUGCAGAAUAAGCACCGGCUAACUACGUG
rnacentral:rRNA from 1 species